UACGUAGGGGGCCAGCGUUGUCCGGAUUCAUUGGGCGUAAAGGGUGCGUAGGCGGUCGUGCAAGUCGGAUGUGAAAUCUCAGGGCUCAACCCUGAAACUGCAUUCGAUACUGCGUGGCUAGAGUGCUGGAGAGGAGACUGGAAUUUACGGUGUAGCAGUGAAAUGCGUAGAUAUCGUAAGGAAGACCAGUGGCGAAGGCGAGUCUCUGGACAGCAACUGACGCUGAGGCACGAAGGCCAGGGGAGCAAACGGG
rnacentral:rRNA from 1 species